rnacentral:rRNA from 1 species
CGGACGGGUGAGUAAUGUAUGGGGAUCUGCCCGAUGGAGGGGGAUAACUACUGGAAACGGUAGCUAAUACCGCAUAACGUCGCAAGACCAAAGAGGGGGACCUUCGGGCCUCUUGCCAUCGGAUGUGCCCAGAUGGGAUUAGCUAGUAGGUGGGGUAAUGGCUCACCUAGGCGACGAUCCCUAGCUGGUCUGAGAGGAUGACCAGCCACACUGGAACUGAGACACGGUCCAG